UGUCGACAUUUCCACUCCCAAUGA
rnacentral:piRNA from 1 species